UACAGAGGUCUCAAGCGUUGUUCGGAAUCACUGGGCUUAAAGAGUCCGUAGGCGGCCAAGAAAGUUGGGUGUGAAAUACCUCAGCUCAACUGAGGAAUUGCGCUCAAAACUACUUGGCUCGAGAAAGACAGAGGUGAGCGGAACUGAUGGUGGAGCGGUGAAAUGCAUUGAUAUCAUCAGGAACACCGGUGACGAAAGCGGCUCACUGGGUCUUUUCUGACGCUGAGGGACGAAAGCUAGGGGAGCGAACGGG
rnacentral:rRNA from 1 species